CUCUGCCAGUGUCUGUGUCAGCACGCCUGUACUAGGUCACAGCAUUGAUUGUUGCCAAUGUCUCGAUCCCUGGAGAGGUCUCACCUCUCACCAAGACACACCCAGAGCCUAUCAGACUCUGCAGCCAGACUUUCAUCUGCCAAUCCAGCUUCCAAAUUACCACGAGAGCAAUCUUUCUAAAAUUCAUAUGGAAGUGAGACCAGCAAGGUCAGCUUGCUCACUUGCUUGCCUGAAGACACAGUGAUUAAAGGAAGAAGUGAGAUUCAAAGCAUGCCUUUCGAUUCUAGAUUCUGUGAUCUCUGCUCCUCCCUGCCCCCUCCUUGGCAGGUCAGCGAGCUGCAGGCCGAGGGUUGACCCUGGAGUAGUCUCCGUAGGGGACAGGAGGUCGGGAGAAACAGCUCACUCCGCUUGUCCCUUGCAGACACACCAACAUGAGCUCUCCACCAACAAGCCUCAUCGUUUCCAUUACUGGAAGGAUUCUUUUGCUCUUGGAAAAAUCCAGGAGGGCAGAGAUGAUUUAAUCUCAGGUCAGAUGAGGAAAGACACAGUAAUUCUGGCUUUAGCUUUGGGCGCUCUCUGACAUGUGGUUUGCGAUGGAACCCUGCUGCGACCAGCACAGACAUCGCUGUCCUUGCUGCGCAGCAGGAGAAGCCCCGGUGAGUGCAGGAGGGAGUCCUAGAUCCCUGGCAUGGAGCAGAGAGCCCGCACAGCUGCAGUCUGUGACCCUGCUGGCUUCCAGGGAGGAAUGGACUCUGGCCGUGCGACAUCAAAUGUGAGCGCCACUGCGGAUUAGCACCUGAGGAAAGUUUUUUUUUUAAACAAAAUUUUAUGGAAAAAAAUGGAGUAGAUGUAAAAGGCAACACAUAAAACUAGGGUACAAAGUUUUCUUUCUAGGAAUAAAAAUGGUACCAGAUGGAAGCAGAGAGAGAGAAAAUAAAAAUGAAAGUAGUGGGUAGGGGAAAGGGAGGAUGGAGAAGGGAGAGCAGUAAACGGGAGUUGAGAGGGAGAAUGUGGGCGAAGAAAGACGACUUGGAAAAGAUGGAACUGCAAGAAAAAAAAGAACAGAGCAGAUCGGGGAAGAGGCGCCUGGGCAGGAACUGAGAGGCGCCAGUACGAGUGGUCCACGCGGCUCCACACCGGCCUGCGUGCAGUCUGCUCAAGGCUCUGUGGCAAUCUGGCUCUGGAGACUGCUUAAAACAUCACCGCAUCUGAGCUCAAGAUUCCCUGUAAAAUACGCCGUUCGACAGAGAGAAGCCCAGCGGUGGGCUUAAACAUUCUUUCUUGGGAGCAGGGCGGUGAGAAGCCACCUAGUGAGCAGGGAAGUGAUGCAGAUGUCUUCAGAUGGAAAAUUCAUAACUCCUCUGGCAGAAGUUGCCCACAGCAACCGUCAGCUGUUGGGGGAAGUUGAUCUUCCCAUGGGCACUGCCCAGGUGAGGUUUACUGCAGUAAUCCUAACGUUUUAAUACCUGCUUGCUUUUGUUUCAAGAAAACAUGAGCUGCUUUGGGCAGCUAAACACUGACUUGGAGUCACUUUAUGGCUUUAUUUUUGGAAUGGUCCCUUUCCAGGUGCUCGUUCAUUUGACACAGACAAGUAAAAAAUGAAAUCUAUUCCUUCUUCCCUAAGGACUUACGUCAACGCAAAAUGUGAAUAAUUCCAUUUAAAAUUAAGUUUGAGACAAUCAAAAUAUUCACCUUAUUAAACGCAACAGCUGUAAAUGGCCUAAUGAUGACAGGGGAUUCCUCAGUGCUGCAUCUCUGCCCUUUCAUGUAAUCUCUGCUGGAGCAGGGCCUGCCCAACCGAGGGCUGAGGAAGAAAGGAGAAGGGCUGGAAAGGGCUGUGUUCGAAAAUGUCUACCAAGGGCACCGGAAACUGCUGGGAGACAUUGCUCAGGGAAUCCUGAUUUCAAUUAUGUUCAUAAACUUCAUAGCCCCCAAACUACCAACGCUCCAUCUUGGCUAAAUUAACAUCUUCAAAGUAAAUUCUUUAAAGUAAACAUAAAAAGAUCAUCUUUAAAUAGCACAAGAGCUAAAAUAUUUGAGGUUAAGGGGCCCCCAAAUGGAUGAUAUUCCAUAUAUCAAUAGGAACGUCAUAGUACAUUUUCUCUUAAAAAUGCUUCCACUUCACUUUCAGUGGAUAAGGGUGCAAAGGCUAUAACCUGACAAUUCUGAAAAAUAUUUUUAAAAAAGUGUUUUCCUUCAAUAAUUAUUGCAGAAGUUCUACUCCGAACAUAUCACCUUAAUCUUAGAACGAUUUCUCUAAUGCUGGUGGUGUUAGCGUGAAAGGGUCACCCUCAUAAACAACUGGUUACACUAUAAUUUGUGCCAGACAUUUUGGGAUGCAAUGUGGCAAUAUGUGUCCAAAAUCAUAAAUAUAUUUAUGCUCCUUGGCCCAGUAAUCCAAAUUCCAAGAAUGUGUCCUCGGGAAAUAUUUCAAAAGAGGGAACAAUUUAGAAGUAACACAAUGCUCGCUGUAGUUAUUUUGUGCCAGAGGGUAAAAGACAAUCAUGUGUACAGGGGUUGCAAACCGUGCCCCGUGUGCCAGAUCAGCCCUCUGACUGUUAGACGAAGUCAAGUUUUCCUGGAACACAGCCACUCUCCUGCAUCUGUGUGUUGUCUAUGGUGCCGCUUUUGUGCUACAGUGGCAGAGGUGAACAGUUGUGACACGGACUAUAUGGUUCACAAAGCUGAAAAGUAUUUACUUCCCAGCUUAAUUUUUAGUAUCGACUUUUUAAAAUCCUAGAUUAUGAUAUCACUCUCUAGUCAUUAAAUUGUUCAUUUAAUAUC
rnacentral:lncRNA from 1 species